GCAGCAGGACUCCAGGCGGUAGCCAAGGCCGCGCCGUCCCUAUAAGAGCGGCCGCUGGCGCUCCGCACAGUAGUCACUGCAGACCGCGCACCACACACACCUCAAAGCACCAUGAAGGCUUUCGUCUGCUCUUUCCUCGUAGUGCUGCUGGUGGCGGCCGUGUUCGCCCAGGAGAAGGCCAAGGAGACCCUGAAGGGCGCCGAGGCCUACUACGCCUACGCCGCCCCCUACGCCUACAGCGCCUUCGGCUACCCCGCCGUCAGCGCCUACUCCGCCUACCCCUAUGGCGCCGUCGGCUACCCCUACUACUACCGCUAAGAAGACACAAAUUCUGACAUGAUGUCUCCUGUACUGAUUCUUCUGUUUGUCUCUUUUCUCUAAAUACAACUCUAUCACAAAACAAAAA